rnacentral:rRNA from 1 species
GAUGAACGCUGGCGGCGUGCCUAAUACAUGCAAGUCGAGCGAACAGACGAGGAGCUUGCUCCUCUGACGUUAGCGGCGGACGGGUGAGUAACACGUGGAUAACCUACCUAUAAGACUGGGAUAACUUCGGGAAACCGGAGCUAAUACCGGAUAAUACAUUGAACCGCAUGGUUCAAUAGUGAAAGACGGUUUUGCUGUCACUUAUAGAUGGAUCCGCGACGCAUUAGCUAGUUGGUAAGGUAACGGCUUACCAAGGCGACGAUGCGUAGCCGACCUGAGAGGGGGAUCGGCCACACUGGAACUGAGACACGGUCCAGACUCCUACGGGAGGCAGCAGUAGGGAAUCUUCCGCAAUGGGCGAAAGCCUGACGGAGCAACGCCGCGUGAGUAAUGAAGGUCUUCGGAUCGUAAAACUCUGUUAUUAGGAAGAACAAAUGUGUAAGUAACUAUGCACGUCUUGACGGUACCUAAUCAGAAAGCCACGGCUAACUACGUG